rnacentral:rRNA from 1 species
UGGGGAAUAUUGCACAAUGGGCGGAAGCCUGAUGCAGCGACGCCGCGUGGGGGAUGAAGGCCUUCGGGUUGUAAACUCCUUUCGACAGGGACGAAGCUUUUGUGACGGUACCUGUAUAAGAAGCACCGGCUAACUACGUGCCAGCAGCCGCGGUAAUACGUAGGGUGCGAGCGUUUUCCGGAAUUACUGGGCGUAAAGAGCUCGUAGGUGGUUUGUCGCGUCGUCUGUGAAAUUCCGGGGCUUAACUCCGGGCGUGCAGGCGAUACGGGCUGACUUGAGUGCUGUAGGGGAGACUGGAAUUCCUGGUGUAGCGGUGAAAUGCGCAGAUAUCAGGAGGAACACCGAUGGCGAAGGCAGGUCUCUGGGCAGUAACUGACGCUGAGGAGCGAAAGCAUGGGUAGCGAACAGG